AAUGAGCGGAUCAACCUGGAGUUGGAGCGGAUAAAUGUUGAACAACAGUUACUUUUACUGAAAUUAUUGCAACACAGAAAAGAGAGAAGACAUCGGAGGAGAUGAUGCCAUGGGGAGAAAACAUGCUGAUAUGAGGUACUAUUUAAAGAAGAGGAACAUGGCAGAGUGGGAGAGAGCAGAUAACGCCUGGGACCCAUUGAAGUUAUUCUUGAUGGAGAAGACGACAUUAAAACAGAAAUGAGUUUGUUUGCUGAGGGCGUGGAGCGCAAGCUCUUCCUCUGCACCGCCUGCAUGUAUACGUACCCUGAGGAGCAGGCUGAGAUGACUGUGGGCCAAUGGAGAUUGCUGUCUGAGAGCCUAUCCAUUAGUUGACGACAACCAUCAUUAGAGGAGAGAUUUCAAAAUUGAAUGCUAGCUCAAAAAUUGGGCUCCCUUUUGAUACCCUAUCUAGCGAGUCUGUUAGUGGAGCAGAGACAGAUAGAGGGCUUGGCAUAUCCAGGGAAUGGGACUUGCAACUAAUCUGUUUAAUUUGCUACUAAUGCACAUAAUGACCAACACACUUAUGCUUUCACUGGCACAGAGCAUCAUUGAUGGACCUUUUCCAUGGUGACAGUAAAAUUGCUUUUUUCUUCUGAGUCACAGGUUUCAACAUCAAUAUGUACAAAAAAGUCUGAUUCAAGCCACACUGUUCUGUUUAUAAAUAUGAGACAUUUGCUUACUUCUCUGUUUGAAGUAUCUGUAUACAUUACAUUUUCAUAUAUAUGUCACACGUGCUCCCUGUCGAUGAGAUGCUAUAUCUAGUUCAUGAAAGCUUUGACAUUUGCAAGUGCUUUAACUGUAUUUGCUUAAAAAAAUAUGCACAGGAGUCAGUUUUAUGUUCAUGAUUUGUUUGGAAUAAAUAGAAGAACUGCUGUGUCAGCUAUGCUUUCUCUGCAUGAAUAACAAAAAGACUGACAACUACAGAAAAUCUAUCUUCACUAGGGUUGCGACUACUGAUAAUUUUCCAUCAUCGAUUAAUUAAACAUUUUGUCCAUAAAUACCAGAAAAUGUUCAACAAUUUCCAUUGCAUUAUCUGAGGUGAUGUCAUCAAAUGGCUUGUUUUGUCUGACCAAUA